AGUGAACGCUGGCGGCAUGCCUAACACAUGCAAGUCGAACGGAAGCACAGUACGAUCGUGCUCUUACGGGUGGCGAGUCGCGGACGGGUCACGAAUACAUCCGACCCUACUCUUUCGUGGAAGUUAACGAAAGUGAAGCUAAGAUAAUAUCGCAUCUCAUGCACCGCGGAAGGCAGGGGAACUUUUCAGCGUUUGCGUAUGAAUUAGCCGCUGCGGGGUUAGCUAGUUGGGGGGGUAAUGGCCCACCAUGGCGAGGAUCCGUAGCUGGACUGAGAGGAUGGUCAGCCACACUGGAACGGAGACACGGUCAAGACGCCUACGGUAGGCAGCAGUGGGGAAUAUGGGGCAAUGGGCGCAAGCCUGACACAGCCAUACCGAGUGGGUGACGAAGGCGUUCGGGGUGUAAAGCCCUUUUGUUGGGUAAGAACAGCUGCCGGUUGAUACGCCGCUGUUGUGACGGUACCCAAAGAAUAAGCACCGGCUAACUACGUG
rnacentral:rRNA from 1 species